UUAGUCAGAGGUGAAAUCCUACAGCUUAACUGUAGAACUGCCUCUGAUACUGCAAAUCUUGAGUUCAGAAGAGAGAAGCGGAAUUCCAGGUGUAGUAGUGAAAUACGUAGAUAUCUGGAAGAACACCAGUGGCGAAGGCGGCUUCUUGGUCUGUAACUGACACUGAGGCGCGAAAGCGUGGGGAGCAAACAGGAUUAGAUACCCUGUAGUCCACGCCCUAAACGAUGAAUACUAGGUGUUGGAUGCAUUUGCAUUCAGUGCCGCAGUUAACGCAUUAAGUAUUCCACCUGGGGAGUACGAUCGCAAGGUUGAAACUCAAAGGAAUUGACGGGGGCCCGCACAAGCAGUGGAGCAUGUGGUUUAAUUCGAUGCAACGCGAAGAACCUUACCUAGGCUUGAAAGGCAAGUGACAGAGUGUGAAAGCACUCCUCCAGAAAUGGCACUUGUACAGGUGCUGCAUGGCUGUCGUCAGCUCGUGCCGUGAGGUGUUGGGUUAAGUCUCGCAACGAGCGCAACCCCUACCAUUAGUUGCCAUCAGGUUAUGCUGGGCACUCUAAUGGGACUGCCUACGCAAGUAGUGAGGAAGGUGGGGAUGACGUCAAGUCAGCAUGGCCCUUACGUCUAGGGCUACACACGUGCUACAAUGGGUGUUACAACGGGUUGCUGAGCCGCGAGGUGGAGCUAAUCCCUUAAAAGCACCCUCAGUUCGGAUUGCAGUCUGAAACUCGACUGCA
rnacentral:rRNA from 1 species